UGGGGAAUAUUGCACAAUGGAGGGAACUCUGAUGCAGCGACGCCGCGUGAGUGAUGAAGGAAUUCGUUUCGUAAAACUCUGUUCUAUGGGAAGAAAAGGACUGUACCAUAGGAGAAAGCUCCGGCUAAAUACGUGCCAGCAGCCGCGGUAAUACGUAUGGAGCGAGCGUUGUCCGGAAUUAUUGGGCGUAAAGGGUGCGCAGGCGGCUUUACAAGUUGGAUGUGAAAUAUUGUGGCUCAACCACAAACGUGCAUCCAAAACUGCAAAGCUUGAGUUAAGGAGAGGUAAGUGGAAUUCCUGGUGUAGCCGUGGAAUGCGUAGAUAUCAGGAGGAAUACCGGUGGCGAAGGCGACUUACUGGACUUAAACUGACGCUCAGGCACGAAAGCGUGGGGAGCAAACAGG
rnacentral:rRNA from 1 species